GCCUAAAGCGUCCGUAGCCGGCUCUGUAAGUUUUCGGUUAAAUCUGUAUGCUCAACAUACAGGCCGCCGGGAAUACUGCAGAGCUAGGGAGUGGGAGAGGUAGACGGUACUCGGGAGGAAGUGGUAAAAUGCUUUGAUCUCCCGAUGACCACCUGUGGCGAAGGCGGUCUACCAGAACACGUCCGACGGUGAGGGAUGAAAGCUGGGGGAGCAAACCGGAUUAGAUACCCGGGUAGUCCCAGCCGUAAACUAUGCAAACUCAGUGAUGCAUUGGCUUGUGGCCAAUGCAGUGUUGCAGGGAAGCCGUUAAGUUUGCCGCCUGGGAAGUACGUACGCAAGUAUGAAACUUAAAGGAAUUGGCGGGGGAGCACCACAAGGGGUGAAGCCUGCGGUUCAAUUGGAGUCAACGCCAGAAAUCUUACCCGGAGAGACAGCAGAAUGAAGGUCAAGCUGAAGACUUUACCAGACAAGCUGAGAGGUGGUGCAUGGCCGUCGCCAGCUCGUGCCGUGAGAUGUCCUGUUAAGUCAGGUAACGAGCGAGAUCCCUGCCUCUAGUUGCCACCAUUACUCUCAGGAGUAGUGGGGCGAAUUAGCGGGACCGCCGCAGUUAAUGCGGAGGAAGGAAGGGGCCACGGCAGGUCAGUAUGCCCCGAA
rnacentral:rRNA from 1 species